rnacentral:rRNA from 1 species
UACGGAGGAUGCGAGCGUUAUCCGGAUUUAUUGGGUUUAAGGGGUGCGUAGGCGGGAUGCCAAGCCAGCGGUCAAAUACGGGGGCUCAACCUGCGUCCGCCAUUGAAACUGGCGUUCUUGAGUGGGCGAGAAGUACGCGGAAUGCGUGGUGUAGCGGUGAAAUGCAUAGAUAUCACGCAGAACCCCGAUUGCGAAGGCAGCGUACCGGCGCCCAACUGACGCUGAAGCACGAAAGCGUGGGUAUCGAACAGG